rnacentral:rRNA from 1 species
GGCAUAGCGUACCAGAGUUCCAUCGGAGGCCGCAGUCGUAAGCCGUCCGCAAUGCUCCCAAGUCAGACGGAGCAACGCCGCGUGAGUGAUGGAGGUUUUUGGAUUGUAAAACUCUAGGCAAAGGGAAGAACAAGUACCGUUUGAAUAGGGAGGUACCUUGACGGUACCUAACCAGAAAGCCACGGCUAACUACGUGCCCGCAGCCGCGGUAAUACGUAGGUGGCAAGCGUUGUCCCGAAUUAUUGGGGGUAAAGCGAGCGCAGGCGGUUUUUUGAGUCCGAUGUGAAAGCCCCCGGCUCAACCGGGGAGGGGCAUUGGAAACUGGGGAACUUGAGUGCAGAAGAGGAGAGUGGAAUUCCAAGUGUAGCGGUGAAAUGCGUAGAGAUGUGGAGGAACACCAGUGGGGAAGGCGACUGUGAGGUCUGUAACUGACGCUGAGGCGCGAAAGCGUGGGGAGCGAACAGGAUUAGAUACCCUGGUAGUCCACGCCGUAAACGAUGAGUGCUAAGUGUUAGAGGGUUUCCGCCCUUUAGUGCUGCAGCAAACGCAUUAAGCACUCCGCCUGGGGAGUACGGUCGCAAGACUGAAACUCAAAGGAAUUGACGGGGGCCCGCACAAGCGGUGGAGCAUGUGGUUUAAUUCGAAGCAACGCGAAGAACCUUACCAGGUCUUGACAUCCUCUGACAACCCUAGAGAUAGGGCUUCCCCUUCGGGGGCAGAGUGACAGGUGGUGCAUGGUUGUCGUCAGCUCGUGUCGUGAGAUGUUGGGUUAAGUCCCGCAACGAGCGCAACCCUUGAUCUUAGUUGCCAGCAUUCAGUUGGGCACUCUAAGGUGACUGCCGGUGACAAACCGGAGGAAGGUGGGGAUGACGUCAAAUCAUCAUGCCCCUUAUGACCUGGGCUACACACGUGCUACAAUGGGCAGAACAAAGGGCAGCGAAGCCGCGAGGCUAAGCCAAUCCCACAAAUCUGUUCUCAGUUCGGAUCGCAGUCUGCAACUCGACUGCGUGAAGCUGGAAUCGCUAGUAAUCGCGGAUCAGCAUGCCGCGGUGAAUACGUUCCCGGGCCUUGUACACACCGCCCGUCACACCAUGAGAGUUUGUAACACCCUCAAGUCGGUGAGGUAACCAGUGGAGCCAGCCGCGCGAUCGAGUACACUCCCA